UAACCUGCGGAGGGAUCAUUACACAAAUUAAAAUAUGAAGGCUUCGGCUGGAUUAUUUUUAUCACCCUUGUCUUUUGCGCACUUGUUGUUUCCUGGGCGGGUUCGCCCGCCACCAGGACCACACCAUAAACCUUUUUUAUGCAGUUGCAAUCAGCGUCAGUAUAACAAAUGUAAAUCAUUUACAACUUUCAACAACGGAUCUCUUGGUUCUGGCAUCGAUGAAGAACGCAGCGAAAUGCGAUACGUAGUGUGAAUUGCAGAAUUCAGUGAAUCAUCGAAUCUUUGAACGCACAUUGCGCCCUUUGGUAUUCCAAAGGGCAUGCCUGUUCGAGCGUCAUUUGUACCCUCAAGCUUUGCUUGGUGUUGGGCGUCUUUUGUCUUUGGCCUCGCCCAAAGACUCGCCUUAAAACGAUUGGCAGCCGGCCUACUGGUUUCGCAGCGCAGCACAUUUUUGCGCUUGCAAUCAGCAAAAAGGACGGCAAUCCAUCAAGACUACAUUUUUACGUUNGACCUCGGAUCAGGUAGGGAUACCCGCUGAACUUAAGCAUAUCAAUA
rnacentral:rRNA from 1 species